rnacentral:rRNA from 1 species
UACAGAGGGUGCGAGCGUUUAAUCGGAAUUACUGGGCGUAAAGCGCACGUAGGUGGCUUGGCAAGUCUGCUGUGAAAGUCCAGGGCUCAACCCUGGGAUGCCGGUGGAUACUGCUGAACUAGAGUGCGGAAGAGGCGAGUGGAAUUCCCGGUGUAGCGGUGAAAUGCGCAGAUAUCGGGAGGAACACCAAUUGCGAAGGCAGCUCGCUGGGACGUUACUGACGCUGAGACGCGAAAGCGUGGGGAGCAAACAGG